ensembl:misc_RNA 7SK 7SK RNA
GGAUGUGUGGCAAUCCGGCUGAGACAUCGGUCACCCCAUUGAUUUCUGGGAUCAGUCCAGUUGAGCUGGCUGGCUAGGCAGGUAUCGCCUUCCUCUGUCACCGCUCCCAUGUGCCAUCUCUCCCAAAGAUGCAAGAGGAAGUCCUUUCUCAUUAGAGGAGGAACGGGCUUUGGCCAAAGGUAUAAUGGGUAGCUUCAUCCGCUGGUGAGAACCCUCCAAACAAGCUCACCAAAAAAUCAUAUAAUGCAACAAAUGGACAAAAAGAUAAACCAAAAAUUGCAAGAAACAAUGCAAACAGUGCAAGGGUU